ACCUAGUUGAUCCUGCUAGUAGUCAUAUGCUUGUCUAAGUAUGAACUAAAUUAGACUGUGAAACUGUUGAUGGCUCAUUAAAUCAGUUAUAUUUUCUUUAUGGUACCAUACUACUCAGAUAACCAUAGUAAUUCUAUAGAUAAUAUGUGCACCAAGUCCCGACUCUUUGGAAGGGAUGCAUUUUUUAGAUAAAAUGAUGGCACGAGCUUGCACACUUCUCCAGUGAAUCAUGAUAACUCAACAGAUCGCAAAACCCUUAUGUUGGCGAUGCUUCAUUCAAAUUUCUACCCUAUCAACUUUCGAUGGUAGGAUAGAGGCCUACCAUGGUGGUGAUGGGUGUGAGAUAAUUAGGGUUGAAUUUCAGAGAGGGAGUCUGAGAAACGGCUACCACAUCAAAGGAAGGAAGGAGGCAUGCAAAUUACCCAAUCCUAACAUGGGGAGGAAGUGGUAAUAAAUAAUAAUACUCUGCUCAUCGAGUUUGGUAAUUGGAAUGAGCAAAACCUAAAUCCCUUAAUGAGGAUCCAUUGGAGGGCAAGUCUGGUGCUAACAACCAUGGUAAUUCCAUCUCCAAUAAUGUAUAUUUUUGUUAUUGCAAUUAAAAAGCUCGUAUUUGGAUCUUGGGUCGUAAAGGUCAGUCUACCUACUUGGUGUACACCUGCCCUUCUAUCCAUUGUUUUGGCGGUGUGCUCCUAGCCUUAGUUGGUUAGGUCGCGGCUCCAAGACUGUUACUUUGACAAAAUUAGAGUGCUAAAAGAAAGCUUAUGCUCUGAAGACAUUAGCAUGGAAUAACGUGAUAGGAGUCUGGUCCUAUUGUGUUGGCCUUCGAGACCAGAGUAAUGAUUAGGGACUGUCGGGGGAAUUCGUAUUUCAUUGUCAGAGGUGAAAUUCUUGGAAUUAUGAAAGAUGAACCACUAUGAAAGAAAUUUCCAAUAAUGUUUUCAUUAAUCAAGAAUAAAAUUUAGGGACUCAAAGAUGAUAAAAUAUCGUCCUAGUCUCGACCAUAGACGAUAUCGACCAAGGAUCACUAGAUGUUUCUCUAAGGACUUUGCCAGCACCUUGAGGGAAAUUAGAGUGUUCGGGUUCCAGGGGGAGUAUGGUCGCAAGGCUGAAACUUAAAGGAAUUGAUGGAAGGGCACCAUAAGGAGUGGAGAAUGCAGCUUAAUUUGACUCAACACAGGGAAACUUACCAGGUCUAGACAUAGUAAGGAUUGAUAGAUUGAGAGCUCUUUCUUGAUUAUAUGGGUGGUGGUGCAUGGUCAUUCUUAGUUGGUGGAGUGAUUUGUGUACUUAAUUCCAAUAAAAAACAAGACCUCACCAUGCUAAAUAGCUACACGGAUCUUCCCCUUCACGACCAACUUCUUAGAGGGAUUAUGGCCAUUUAGCCAUGGAAGUUUCAGGCAAUAAUAGUUAUUUUAUUCCCUUAGAUGUUUUGGGCCGCACGAGUGCUACACUGAUGUAUCCAACAAGUUUUUAUUCCUGGUUCGAGAGGACUGGGAAAUAUUCUCAAAUUUCAUCGUGAUGGGGAUAGACCAUUUCAAUUAUUGGCCUUUAAUGAGGAAUUCCUAGUAAGCACGUUUCAUAAACUCGUGUUGACUACAUCCCUACCCUUUGUACACAACACCCAUCGCUCCUACCAAUUGAAUGAUCCGGUGAAGGGUUCAGAUUGCAUCGGCGAUGAUGGUUCGUCACUUUUGACGUCAUGAGAAGUUCAUCGAACCUUAUCAUUUAGAGGAAGGAUAAGUCAUAACAAGAUUACCGUAGGUGAACCUGCGGUAU
rnacentral:rRNA from 1 species